rnacentral:rRNA from 1 species
UACGAAGGGGGCUAGCGUUGCUCGGAAUGACUGGGCGUAAAGGGCGCGUAGGCGGCGUUUUAAGUCGGGGGUGAAAGCCUGUGGCUCAACCACAGAAUGGCCUUCGAUACUGGGACGCUUGAGUAUGGUAGAGGUUGGUGGAACUGCGAGUGUAGAGGUGAAAUUCGUAGAUAUUCGCAAGAACACCGGUGGCGAAGGCGGCCUGCUGGGCAGUGGCUGACGCUGAGGCGCGACAGCGUGGGGAGCAAACAGG